rnacentral:sRNA from 1 species
GCAAGCAACUGGUCGCCUGCUCCAGUGAUUACCUGGACGGGCAACUGACCCUGGGCGAGCGCCUGAUGACGCGCCAGCACCUGCUGUUCUGUCGCAAUUGUCGUCGCUUCAUCAAGCAGUUGCGCCUGGCCCAGGCAACCCUCAAGGCGCUGCCGCCGGCGCCUGUUGAGGGGGCCGAUGCCCUUGCGGCGCGGCU